GGACUCCAAUUCUAGAUGUGGAAAAUAAUAAAUACAUAUUUAAAGGUUGUACUCUGUACAUAUUUAAAGAUUGUACACGUUUCCAAACAAUGCCGCCUACAUAAGAUCUUCUAUUCCUAUACAGAUUGUAACGUUCCGCGAUUGCCAAGAAGGUUUUUAUUGUGUCCCAGGUAUACAAAUCCACAACGUUUUUUUUAACGAACCCUGUGAUUCAUUAGAUUUGGGUAUAAGCGUAGAGGACUCUGAGCCAUCGUGCCGCGAAGAACCCUUUCUCAUAUCUGAUUUAGAGUUUAAACUAGUAAUUUUACCCUAAAAUAGCAAACUAGUUAUACUGCCUUAAUGCAAACCUGCCUUUGAAAUUUCAUUGUCACUUCAUACAACUCCUUUUCUUUUUAUUAAUUAAAUUGUUACAUUUUUUGUUAUUAUAGACUUGCAAUUUCAUUACAGUUUUUAUUUUGAAGAAGAAUGGAAGAAACACCAAGAAAAAUUAAACGUUUCAGUUGAAUUAUAAACAAUGAUAGUCCCAAUCAAAAGUGCAAUUGCGAAACUUUUGGUAAAAAGAUGGAAAAUGUGGAAAACUCUUAGAAAGUAAUUCGAGGUCAGAUCAAGGUUUUAGCUGAUGCAUUAGCUAAGUUGAAAGUAAUGGUGCAAAAAUUACUACGAACUCCAAGUGCUGAGAUACCAUUAUCGAGUAGGUUCCCCAUCACCACUGAGAAAGAUCUCAUUGAAAUUAAUAACAAAAUCUCAAGUGAGAAUAAAGAUAUAUAUAUUAUAUCAUCCAUUGUAAAAAGAGAGGGAAUAUUGAAAUCAUUAAAAAAUAUUACAGGUUUAAAUAUUACUCACGAAUAUAAUAUUGACGGAAAUCAUGGAAAAAAAGUUUGAUGUCCCUAAGAAAUAUAUAUAACGUUAUUUUAGAUUCAAUACCAGUUACAGAAAAUUCGGACACCCCAGAAAUACAACCGCGAAAAGCAAUACAAGUGCAAAAGAAAAGAUUUUUUAAACAAGUGAUUGCUGAGAGAAAAGCUAAAACGAAAGGCAGAAUAAUUAACAAAAUAUUAGCGUUAAUUUUUUUAUAAAUAUUGAAUUUGUUUAUGUUUUUAUACAAAUGAUGUAAAUAUGGUUUUAAGAAACAGAUAAACAUGUACAAAUUUUUAGUGUUAAGUUUAUAUAUAUAUAUUUGUGUUUUUA